AUAUAAAAAAUUUUUUUAAAGGCAUCCAAAGAAAAGGUCAGGAGGUGGUAGAACACACCUUUGAUCCCAGCACUUGGGAGGCAAAUAGUUCUCUGAGUUCAAGGCCAGCCUGGUCUACAGAGUGAGUUCCAGGACAACCAGGGCUACACAGAGAAACCCUGUCUGAAAACAAACACAAAAGCACCCUGUGUGUGGUGGGCGUGAGGGUGGGUGGUAAUGUUGGGUCCUCCUAAGCUCAAGUCACCUCUGCCUCUAAUUUCAGUGUUUGGGCACCCACUCAUGACAGUCCUUAUGACGAUGAUCCACAGGGCACCCAAGGGCUGCUCUUGGCCUCCAGCUCUGGCUGAGAAGGGAUCCCCACAGCUCAGUGGACAAAAGAUCUUUUUAUGUUUAUUUGAGACAGUCUUAUAUGUAUUUCAAGCUGGCCUCAGGUUUGCUGUUAUCCCAGGGCGGUCUUGAACUUGAAAUCCUCCUGCCACAGCCUCUUGAGUGCUGAGAUCCCAGGACGUACUACCACCACAGGACUUUGUAAUCUGAAGGUAUAAAUGCCACUUGUCCUUUCAGGGAGCCCCUCUUGACUCACUUACCGUUCUGUGUCUGUAGGCUGUCUACACGUUAGUGUCUCUGUACCGACAGUAUACAAGCUUGCUGGGGAAGAUGAAUUCCCAGGAGGAGGAUGAGGUGUGGCAGGUGAUCAUAGGAGCCAGAGUUGAGGUGAGUGGGCCUGUCAGUCAUUUCCAAAUAGUGCUCUUCAUUACUGUAACUGAACUGCGAACCGACUGUGUGAACCCCUUCAUGGUGUCUGGAGCUCUUUUCUAACCCUGCAGAUGACUUCAAAGCAGCAGGAGUACUUGAAGCUGGAGACCACGUGGAUGACAGCAGUCAGCCUUUCAGAGAUGGCUGCGGAGGCUGCCUAUCAGACUGGUGCUGGGGGAUUAGAGAUGCGCGCCGCCGCCCAGCUGAGGAGAGUUGAGCCUCUGCAGCUCAAGCCAACACCAAGCUUCCAGUUACCCCCCUCCCUCCGCGCCCACGUGCUGGGAUGUAGGCUGGGACUAUGGACGUGGCCGUUCCCAGCAGGCUUGGCUUUACUUUUUUUUUUUUUGGAAAGUCAGUGUGGUUCGCAAUUACAUUUUGUACCAUACUGCAGAAAAGUGAGAACACUUAACAUUUCAGAAGUAA
rnacentral:lncRNA from 1 species